AAUGGGGCCUGGGGCUCUGGGCUUCGGCUACUGUUGCAAUGGAGCCCUUGUCCCUUUAAAUCACCCCCGGAGCCCUGCGCGCUGCAGCGGUGCAGGGAUUCUGAGAGCUGUCUGCUCUGGCCUCGCCCCUUCCCUUCUGAGAGCCUGGAGCCGGGCCCUUCCAUGCCCAGGAGUCUGGUGCAUCUAUGGGCUCGGCUGCGCAGCAGUCUGAAGGGUUGGGCUGCAUGGUGUUGGUGUGUGUGUUACAGGGGAUCCCAGCCUGGGUGGCUGUGGCAUGUGGGUGGGUGCGUUAGAGGGGGGCUGUGGCUGUAUGAGCGUUACAGGAACUCCCACUUGGCAGGCUGUGUGGGUUUCGGGGUGCUGAGCAGCAUGUGAGUCCUAUAGGAGCUCACGAGGUAUUUGCAUGGGGCAGAAGGCAGCUGCCCCAUACAGAUGCCACAUUCUGGCCUGCAGGCUGGUGCUAAGGGAGUUGGUAUCCAAGCUGACUGCCCCUGCUCCCCCCACCCUCCCCAGCUCAAGUGCCACCACCCUGCCAACCACGACAAGUGGUCUAAGGUUAGGCACAUCAAGGACCUGGCUCUUCCAGAAGUUAGCCAAUGCUUCUGCACGGUGAAAGGUAUUGGGGGGGAGGAGAGAGAGCUACUGUGACAGCCCCAGCAGGAGGGAGUGCUACAGAGCCCUGCCACUUCCCAGUGCCCCACAGGUCCUACCACAGCUAGAGGGGGCACUAUAGAAACUUCCCAGCACCUGAUAAGGCCCAGUCCCAACAAGAGACUAUGGCUACAGAUCCCUGCGAGCCCAGCGGUGACCACUAGCUCUGACCCUGUUGCCCUUAACCCCAGCACCCCAUAACCUCUGUUACCGAGGCCAGCAUCCUCCCUAGCUGCUGGAGCAGUGGAUGCUGGUCCGUGGGAUAGUGUCUCUCCCCUUCUCAUUGCUACCUCCAGGGUGUCAGUAGCAAACACGGUUACAAAUGCCGCUUGGUGCCCUUGCCAGAAACACAGGACCAGCGCCCCAACAGUGUCUCUCACCUGUGAAUUAAUUAAGUGCUGAAGUAGAUCCUGUCUCCUCCCGCCGGUGUGGGUGCAAUGAAGCGGAGGCGAUGUUCAGGUGCAAACAACAUAAGCGAUUGAUUACAAAAGGGAGAAAUGGGGAAAUGCAGCUGAGACCGACAUAAACAAACUGGUGAUAGUGACAGCAACAAACGGGGCUCAAAGCCCAGACCCACGAAAUCAAACUCUGUGAUUAAAAUGGUAAUAACACCCCUAAGUACAGUGACCCUUCUCUCCUGCAGACUGGCAGUGGUGCUAGUGGAGGUGCCCAGGACCUGCUAUCCACAGGCUGAUUUGCGAUCUUGGGGAGGAACACUGGGGAGUCCCAUGAUGUCCUGCCCUGGACAAGUGGGUGAAGAGGAAUCGCAGGCUGGUGACAGUACAAGCAGGGAAUUGCCAGACUGACGCAGAGCAGAGGUGUGUCCACUCCAGUGUCCUGUUUCCAGCGCCAGAGAGUAGACUGUCUGGCGAAUGUUGAUGGCAGAGGAGCAUUGCUGGCGCAUGAUGACAUAUAUCACAUUAGUAGAUGUGCAGGUGAAU